GGGCAUAAGGUUAUCUAUAGCUGCAACAUCUGUCACCCCAUUGAUUGCCAGGGUUGAUUCGGCUGAUCUGGCUGGCUAGGUGGGUGUCCCUUUCCUCUUUCCCUCCAUGUGUGUCCUUCUCAAAGCUUCACACUCAGUUGAAGAGGAGGACCUUUGCCAAAUAGAGACAGACAGACCAUCAGUCCAGGGUUUAUGAGGAGCUGCGCUCCCCUGCUAGAACCUCCAACAAGCCCUGAAGGAAGUGGGAAAACUGACAUGUGAACUUAGAAUUCCGCUGAUGUUAAUGC
rnacentral:snRNA from 1 species